GACGAACGCUGGCGGCGUGCUUAACACAUGCAAGUCGAACGGAAAGGCCCCUUUGGGGGUACUCGAGUGGCGAACGGGUGAGUAACACGUGAGUAACCUGCCCUUGACUUCGGGAUAACUUCAGGAAACUGGGGCUAAUACCGGAUAGGAAUCCUUGCUGCAUGGUGGGGGUUGGAAAGCUUCGGCGGUUUUGGAUGGACUCGCGGCUUAUCAGCUUGUUGGUGGGGUAGUGGCUUACCAAGGCUUUGACGGGUAGCCGGCCUGAGGGGGCGACCGGCCACAUUGGGACUGGGAAACGGCCCAGACUCCUACGGGGGGCAGCAGGGGGGAAUUUUGCAAAAUGGGGGGAAGCCUGAGGCAGCAACGCCGGGUGGGGGAUGACGGCCUUCGGGUGGUAAACCGCUUUCAGCGGGGGGGAAGCUUGGGGGGAGGGUACCUGCAGAAGAAGCACCGGCAAACUACGU
rnacentral:rRNA from 1 species